GUUGAUCUGGUAGGAGGGUAAAUAUGUAUGAACAAUUUUAGAAUUAAAGGUCCAUCAAUUGCAUUGUGCCGUGACCAAGUAGUUGAGAUGGUCAUUUGGUGCCCCUCCUCCUAAUACAAACACAUGAUAUCAAAUCAAACCUCCGUAACUGCAGGCUCUCUAUGGUAAGCUUAUCAUUCGCAUGAAGCGCCACUGGAGAAGAAAAGGUUGAGAUUGGGCUACUGAGAAGCCCAAGAAUAACUACUGUCCUUGCUGCUGGGGGUCGUGGUGGCGGUGGCAUCGGCAGCUCCGGUGGUGGUAGGGGUGGUUCUCGAGGUGGUGAUUCUCAUGCAAGUAGCGCAGGUUGCUUUCCCUUGACUGAUGCGUUUUCUGUAGCGAUCAUAUUGGCCAUACUAUGAUAAUUUAGCUUAUAUAUUUGGAAUGUUACAUUAGAAGUGACAGAUUGAGUUUUUUAAUAAGAGAAUAUUUAUAGGUUAAUAAGAAGGGUUGGCCAUUUACCAUC